UUCCAUUCCCUAUGAACAUCAAAGCGAAAAGCACAGGAAUCUGUACACCAGUUGACUGACGAUUGAGAAGCGGGACCAAAGAACCAGAGCUCAACCCCCGCAAGCACAAUUAGUUGAGUACAUAUCAAAAACGUACUAUCAUCAAUUUAGCGAAUAUGCAGAUGCACGGUUAGCAAUAAACGAGACAGGUUCUUUGCCAUCAAUGCAGUCUGCUUGUUCACCGCCAAUAAUACAACCCAUAUUCAGUUGUAUUGUCAUGUAUACAGGUUUCCUGCCACCAAUGCAGGUCCCAUACAAGUUUACUGCCAUUACUGUUACUUGCACGCUGAUGCAGCUCUACGUGGCCUGUUGGUCGAGUCACACGUUGCUAUAUGCAGGUUCAUCAUCACUGCAGCCCACAUAUAGCUUCUCCGCUAUCAAUGCAGCGUAACUACAGCUUCAGCACCAUCAAUGCAGCGUAACUACAGCUUCAGCGCCAUCAAUGCAGCGUAACUACAGCCUCUCCGGUAUCAAUGCAGCGUAACUACAGCUUCAGCGCCAUCAAUGCAGCGUAACUACAGCUUCAGCGCCAUCAAUGCAGCGUAACUACAGCUUCAGCGCCAUCAAUGCAGCGUAACUACAGCUUCAGCGCCAUCAAUGCAGCGUAACUACAUCUUCAGCGCCAUCAAUGCAGCGUAACUACAGCUUCAGCGCCAUCAAUGCAGCGUAACUACAGCUUCAGCGCCAUCAAUGCAGCGUAACUACAGCUUCAGCGCCAUCAAAGCAGCGUAACUACAGCUUCAGCGCCAUCAAUGCAGCGUAACUACAGCUUCAGCGCCAUCAAUGCAGCGUAACUACAGCUUCAGCGCCAUCAAUGCAGCGUAACUACAGCUUCAGCGCCAUCAAUGCAGCGUAACUACAGCUUCAGCGCCAUCAAUGCAGCGUAACUACAGCUUCAGCGCCAUCAAAGCAGCCUUAUACAGUGCUUAAUUAAUCGUGGGAAUCGUACGCAGUGAGGGAAGCUCUCAGGCGAGUGGUAAACAUCUUGACGCACCAGGCCCCCAGAGCUCGUCACGUGACGCACCAGGCCCCCAGAGCUCGUCACGUGACGCACCAGGCCCCCAGAGCUCGUCACGUGACGCACCAGGCCCCCAGAGCUCUAUUGCAGUCUCCCCUCCCGGCCCCACCCACAAAAAACAACUGCAAUUGGACUCCUGCGUGAGAACUGCCAACCAUCGCUACAGGUGUUUCAACAACCUGUCCUCACAGUUAAGGCGUCGUUUAUGUACGGUGGAGACAUACGCGUACAAUUUCAACGCUUUUAAAACAUAUGAAAACAUGUUCGCUUCUUCUCAACAUAAAACAUGAUGAUAACGCUUCUUUGGACCUAUGAAAAUCUAGGUGUCGAAACUGGCUGGGUCGGCGUAGGCUUGUAUAUUUUCGUAGUGUAAAUGCAUACAUAUUGUAUGUUGUCUAUCGCACAAAAUAGGCUGUAAACAUUAUACAUAUAAAUUAUAUUCUAACUACAGGCCUAUAACUAAAAUGUGAUGGUACUAGUAGCUUUAAAAUACAAACUUAAAUACAAGAACACUUCCUCAUCCAAAAGCUAAAUUAUUAAUUAGUUAUGUAAUUUAUGAUGUGUGUUCUGUUUAUGACAAGACUGUAAUAAUAUAUCCAACAUUC